rnacentral:tRNA from 1 species
GCGGGUGUCGUAUAACGGUUAUUAUAACUCCUUCCCAAGGAGUGGACGGCGGUUCGACUCCGCUCACCCGCUCCG